rnacentral:rRNA from 1 species
AUUUGUAAUCUGGCCCUUUCAGGGUCCGAGUUGUAAUCUCGAGAAGUGUUUUCCGCGUCGGACUGCAUACAAGUCUAUUGGAAUAUAGCGUCAUAGUGGUGAGAGCCCCGUAACUGAUGCAGAUGCCCGAUGCUUUGUGAUACACUUUCGAAGAGUCGAGUUGUUUGGGAAUGCAGCUCAAAUUGGGUGGUAAAUUCCAUCUAAAGCUAAAUAUUGGCGAGAGACCGAUAGCGAACAAGUACCGUGAGGGAAAGAUGAAAAGCACUUUGGAAAGAGAGUUAACAGUACGUGAAAUUGUUGGAAGGGAAACGCUUGAAAUCAGACUUGCUAUUCGGAAUUCAGCCGCAAGGUGUACUUUUCGAUUUGCAGGCCAGCAUCAGUUUUUGGGGGUGGAAAAGGGUGGAGAGAAGGUAGCAACCCCGGUUGUGUUAUAGCUCUUCACUGGAUUCAUCUUUGGGGACUGAGGAUCGCAGUGCGCAUUUAUUUGCAAACCUCUCGAGG